rnacentral:rRNA from 1 species
ACGCUCGACACCUACGGGAGGCAGCAGUGGGGGAUAUUGCACAAUGGAGGAAACUCUGAUGCAGCGACGCCGCGUGAGGGAAGACGGUUUUCGGAUUGUAAACCUCUGUCUUCAGGGACGAAAUGAAUGACGGUACCUGAGGAGGAAGCUCCGGCUAACUACGUGCCACAGCCGCGGUAAUCUGAGCGGCUGGCAAGGC